rfam:Caenorhabditis brenneri strain PB2801 C_brenneri-6.0.1_Cont193.3, whole genome shotgun sequence.
GGACGUGUGGCCUAAUGGAUAAGACGUCUGUCUCCUGAACCGAAGACUGCAGGUUCGAGUCCUACCUCGGUCG